UACCUGGACAGAGUAAGGAGCCUGGAGAGUGAAAAUCGGAAGCUGGAUAGCAAAAUCCGGGAACACCUGGAGAAGAAGGGGACCCAGGUCAGAAACUGGGGGAAUUACUUCAAGACCAUCGAGGACCUGAGGGCUCAGAUCUUUGCAAAUUCCGUGGACAAUGCCCAAAUCGUUCUGCAGAUUGAUAAUGCCCGUAUCGCUGCUGAUGACUUUAAAGUCAAGUAUGAGACAGAGCAGGCCAUGCGCCAGUCUGUGGAGAGCGACAUCCAUGGGCUCCACAAGGUCAUUGAUGACACCAAUGUCACCCGGCUUCAGCUAGAGACAGAGGUUGAGGCUCUCAAGGAGGAGCUGCUCUUCAUGAAGAAGAAACAUGAAGAGGAAGUAAAAGGCCUACAAGCCCAGAUUGCCAACUCUGGGUUGACC